CCCUUAGAUGUCCGGGGCCGCACGCGCGCUACACUGAAGUAAUCAGCGUGCAUACGAAACCCGCUCUUAGCAGAGUGGGCAACCAAAUGAACCCAUUUCGUGAUGGGGAUUGAGCAUUGUAAUUAUUGCUCAUGAACGAGGAAUUCCCAGUAAGCGCGAGUCAUCAGCUCGCGUUGAUUACGUCCCUGCCCUUUGUACACACCGCCCGUCGCACCUACCGAUUGGAUGGUCCGGUGAAGCCUCGGGAUUGUGGUUCUUGCCGCUUUAUUGUGGCGUGACCGCGAGAACUUGUCUAAACCUUAUCAUCUAGAGGAAGGUGAAGUCGUAACA
rnacentral:rRNA from 1 species